CGUACCUCCUAUGGGAUGAUCCAGGUAGCGAGCGCCUCUCCCGCGCAGUCAAAAGGGGGCGCUGUGACAUUUCGCGAUACACAUCGGACUGAUCCAGUCGAUGUUGCCUACACGCUGUGACAUCUAAUAUUCAAACGCCCCCUACGUCGUAAUUUUGAUACGGCGGAACCGGUAUCGCAACCGUGGACGGUCCCCCAUUGCAGGUACGUCCGCGGUUUGAGGUAGUUUUCUAUGGAGUGGUCCGCGGUUGCUGGCGUUUUCCUACGCAUGUACACACAACCAAUCCUUUGGAACCGUUGUGCAAUGUAACCCUGCAUUUUUUGAAUGGUUAGCUAUGUGUACUGUGUACGUGUCGCUGUACAAAGCUUGCCUUGGGAAUAGUGCACACACAAGCUAUAUAUAGCUACGGUGUGCAUUAUGAGUAUUAUGAGCUAGACUGAAUCUUGGUGUUUUCUCUGCAAAAUAAUGCUGAAUACUGAGUUUUCCUGCUAAUCUACAACAGUAUGGAUAUCGACGCAACAUGACAAAUGAGUAGUUUCCAUAUCGACGUCGUUCUUUAUCAUCAUCUUCACCAAUACAUCAACGCCAUCAUCACCAUGUCUUUGACGUCGACCUCCGUUUUCGCGUUUGAACUUUGAAGAUUGUUGCGAACUCUAAUAAUGAAUUGGAUAUUGGCAUUAUCGACGUUUGUUCUGUCUUUGAACACUGUCGCAUCGAACUUUGAUUGAAGGUAAGAACCUCCUUUUUACCUCCUUCGAUUUGCGUUUCGUCGUUUGCAGGUCUGAUCCUGACUUCGACUAAUGAUGACCUAAUGAUGACCUAACCUAGUCUUCAAUCACCCUCGACGUCAAACUCUAUACCGCGUUUCACCAUCGCUGAACAAUUGACUCCGCAAUUGAUUGACAUCGCCGACUCUUGACCUUCGUUCAUCAUUCAUUAUUGAACUGUACUACGAUCACCGACAUCAUCUACGAUCAGCCAAAAAGGCCUAGUUACCAUUUGUUUCUUCAAAUUUCGUCUUUCGACUGAAUUCGAGUACGACAUCGUCAAAGAAUCUCGCACCUCCGCUGGAAGGACAGUUUGUAUAAUGUAUUAUGUAAUUUGAAUAUGAGUGGCAGUCUUCCGCUUUAGAAAUAGACUUACCACUUUAUAAUAUUGUUGUGUGCUGAAAAUGUUUAGUGUCAUGUAUAAUGAUGUAACAAGCGGCAGUCUUCGCUAUAGGAAUAGACUUCAAUUUUCGACUGUAAAUUGUUUUAUGUAUUUUACGCAAGCUAGAUUUUAGCUCGUUUGAAUAAACGCUUUUAAAAAAGUGAA